AAUCAACGCUGGCGGCGUGCCUCAGACAUGCAAGUCGAACGAGAAAGUCCCCUUCGGGGAGUAAGUAAAGUGGCGCACGGGUGAGUAACACGUAGGUAAUCUACCUUCGGGUGGGGAAGUAACCCAGGGAAACUUGGGCUAACACCGCAUAAUGCAGCGGCACCACAUGGUGACAGUUGUUAAAGCGGGGGAUCGCAAGACCUCGCGCCUAAAGAGGAGCCUGCGGCGGAUUAGCNGUUGGUGAGGUAAUGGCUCACCAAGGCAUCGAUCCGUAGCCGGCCUGAGAGGGCGGUCGGCCACACUGACACUGACAUACGGGUCAGACU
rnacentral:rRNA from 1 species